rnacentral:rRNA from 1 species
UUAAGCGACUAAGCGUACACGGUGGAUGCCCUGGCAGUCAGAGGCGAUGAAGGACGUGCUAAUCUGCGAUAAGCGCCGGUAAGGUGAUAUGAACCGUUAUAACCGGCGAUUUCCGAAUGGGGAAACCCAGUGUGAUUCGUCACACUAUCAUUAACUGAAUCCAUAGGUUAAUGAGGCGAACCGGGGGAACUGAAACAUCUAAGUACCCCGAGGAAAAGAAAUCAACCGAGAUUCCCCCAGUAGCGGCGAGCGAACGGGGAGGAGCCCAGAGCCUGAAUCAGCAUGUGUGUUAGUGGAAGCGUCUGGAAAGGCGCGCGAUACAGGGUGACAGCCCCGUACACAAAAGCGCAUGUGCUGUGAGCUCGAUGAGUAGGGCGGGACACGUGGUAUCCUGUCUGAAUAUGGGGGGACCAUCCUCCAAGGCUAAAUACUCCUGACUGACCGAUAGUGAACCAGUACCGUGAGGGAAAGGCGAAAAGAACCCCGGCGAGGGGAGUGAAAAAGAACCUGAAACCGUGUACGUACAAGCAGUGGGAGCCCCACCACCAAAGCAUUCUCUGGUGUUGAAGGCCCUGCAAAGCAGCAUCGCGGUGGCGGAGCGUCGUUUGCGACGCCCAACACACAAAACAAGCGGUGAGUGCUUUGGGGUGGGGUGACUGCGUACCUUUUGUAUAAUGGGUCAGCGACUUAUAUUCUGUAGCAAGGUUAACCGAAUAGGGGAGCCGGAGGGAAACCGAGUCUUAAUUGGGCGUUAAGUUGCAGGGUAUAGACCCGAAACCCGGUGAUCUAGCCAUGGGCAGGUUGAAGGUUGGGUAACACUAACUGGAGGACCGAACCGACUAAUGUUGAAAAAUUAGCGGAUGACCUGUGGCUGGGGGUGAAAGGCCAAUCAAACCGGGAGAUAGCUGGUUCUCCCCGAAAGCUAUUUAGGUAGCGCCUCGUGAAUUCAUCUCCGGGGGUAGAGCACUGUUUCGGCUAGGGGGCCAUCCCGGCUUACCAACCCGAUGCAAACUGCGAAUACCGGAGAAUGUUAUCACGGGAGACACACGGCGGGUGCUAACGUCCGUCGUGAAGAGGGAAACAACCCAGACCGCCAGCUAAGGUCCCAAAGUCAUGGUUAAGUGGGAAACGAUGUGGGAAGGCCCAGACAGCCAGGAUGUUGGCUUAGAAGCAGCCAUCAUUUAAAGAAAGCGUAAUAGCUCACUGGUCGAGUCGGCCUGCGCGGAAGAUGUAACGGGGCUAAACCAUGCACCGAAGCUGCGGCAGCGACACUGUGUGUUGUUGGGUAGGGGAGCGUUCUGUAAGCCUGUGAAGGUGGCCUGUGAGGGUUGCUGGAGGUAUCAGAAGUGCGAAUGCUGACAUAAGUAACGAUAAAGCGGGUGAAAAGCCCGCUCGCCGGAAGACCAAGGGUUCCUGUCCAACGUUAAUCGGGGCAGGGUGAGUCGACCCCUAAGGCGAGGCCGAAAGGCGUAGUCGAUGGGAAACGGGUUAAUAUUCCCGUACUUGGUGUUACUGCGAAGGGGGGACGGAGAAGGCUAUGUUGGCCGGGCGACGGUUGUCCCGGUUUAAGCGUGUAGGUGUGUGUUCCAGGUAAAUCCGGUUCACUUUAACACUGAGGCGUGACGACGAGGCACUACGGUGCUGAAGCAACAAAUGCCCUGCUUCCAGGAAAAGCCUCUAAGCAUCAGGUAACAUCAAAUCGUACCCCAAACCGACACAGGUGGUCAGGUAGAGAAUACCAAGGCGCUUGAGAGAACUCGGGUGAAGGAACUAGGCAAAAUGGUGCCGUAACUUCGGGAGAAGGCACGCUGACACGUAGGUGAAGUGAUUUACUCACGGAGCUGAAGUCAGUCGAAGAUACCAGCUGGCUGCAACUGUUUAUUAAAAACACAGCACUGUGCAAACACGAAAGUGGACGUAUACGGUGUGACGCCUGCCCGGUGCCGGAAGGUUAAUUGAUGGGGUCAGCGCAAGCGAAGCUCCUGAUCGAAGCCCCGGUAAACGGCGGCCGUAACUAUAACGGUCCUAAGGUAGCGAAAUUCCUUGUCGGGUAAGUUCCGACCUGCACGAAUGGCGUAAUGAUGGCCAGGCUGUCUCCACCCGAGACUCAGUGAAAUUGAACUCGCUGUGAAGAUGCAGUGUACCCGCGGCAAGACGGAAAGACCCCGUGAACCUUUACUAUAGCUUGACACUGAACAUUGAGCCUUGAUGUGUAGGAUAGGUGGGAGGCUUUGAAGUGUGGACGCCAGUCUGCAUGGAGCCGACCUUGAAAUACCACCCUUUAAUGUUUGAUGUUCUAACGUGGACCCGUUACCCGGGUUGCGGACAGUGUCUGGUGGGUAGUUUGACUGGGGCGGUCUCCUCCUAAAGAGUAACGGAGGAGCACGAAGGUUGGCUAAUCCUGGUCGGACAUCAGGAGGUUAGUGCAAUGGCAUAAGCCAGCUUGACUGCGAGCGUGACGGCGCGAGCAGGUGCGAAAGCAGGUCAUAGUGAUCCGGUGGUUCUGAAUGGAAGGGCCAUCGCUCAACGGAUAAAAGGUACUCCGGGGAUAACAGGCUGAUACCGCCCAAGAGUUCAUAUCGACGGCGGUGUUUGGCACCUCGAUGUCGGCUCAUCACAUCCUGGGGCUGAAGUAGGUCCCAAGGGUAUGGCUGUUCGCCAUUUAAAGUGGUACGCGAGCUGGGUUUAGAACGUCGUGAGACAGUUCGGUCCCUAUCUGCCGUGGGCGCUGGAGAACUGAGGGGGGCUGCUCCUAGUACGAGAGGACCGGAGUGGACGCAUCACUGGUGUUCGGGUUGUCAUGCCAAUGGCACUGCCCGGUAGCUAAAUGCGGAAGAGAUAAGUGCUGAAAGCAUCUAAGCACGAAACUUGCCCCGAGAUGAGUUCUCCCUGAGACUUAAAGUCUCCUGAAGGAACGUUGAAGACGACGACGUUGAUAGGCCGGGUGUGUAAGCGCAGCGAUGCGUUGAGCUAACCGGUACUAAUGAACCGUGAGGCUUAACCUU